UUUUGACAAGGAAUUUGAAGGUGUGGAGGAAUGCCCCAUAUGUUACAGUGUCAUUCACACUUCAAAUCAUAGCCUCCCACGGCUAGCUUGCAAAACCUGCAAACACAAGUUCCAUUCAGCAUGCCUCUACAAGUGGUUCUCUACUUCUCACAAGUCAACUUGUCCAUUGUGUCAAUCUCCUUUUUGAUGUACCGUUCAAAGUGGUGAUGCCUUAGUGCCGUAAAACGUAAUUUACCCUUGGAUUCAUUGUCCAUCCAAGUUAUAUGCCGA
rnacentral:misc_RNA from 1 species